rnacentral:tRNA from 1 species
GCCGGGGUGGCGAAAUGGUAGACGCGAAGGUCUCAAAAACCUUUGGUUGCAAAAUCAUGAGGGUUCGAGUCCCUCUCCCGGCA